GAUAUGGCUUUUCCUGUUCUAUUCAUCAAGAAAUGCCUUGAACACUAACAUUGUGGCUUUGCUUUACUCAUAGGGCCAUUUGUCAGCUCUGUGGGAAGAAACAAGACAGUU
rnacentral:snoRNA from 1 species